ACUCGGUUAGCUCAGUCGGUAGAGCGCAAGACUUUUAAUCUUGUGGUCGAGGGUUCGAUCCCCUCAUCGAGUG
rnacentral:tRNA from 1 species